UGCAGACUACACGUGUUUGGGGUAGAUCCAGCAGCUAGCAAAAGAGGAGCAGAGACGGCAAGAAGAAUGGCAUCCAAAACAGCGCUCAUGGCUGUGGCUCUGCUCGUCCUUGUGGCCGGCGAUCUUGUCCAUGGCCACACCAUUCUGCCGCCGCUCGGGCGCGCCCGGCGGAGCCUCGGCUGGAUGCAAGGCAUGAAGGGAGGGCCCCCUAGUGGGCAUGCAGCCAUCAGAGACUGCUGCUUCUGCUGCCCGCCGCCGCACCAUUUCUUGGGUGCAAAAAGGCGAGGAAAGCAGCCGGGCCGGCGGCGUGGAGGAACGCAAGUUCAUCGCGCCUGUGCCAGGGUUCAAGCUCCCACCCCUUCCUCCAAACGCUGCCUGAAGAGAUCACAUCACAGAGUGAGCAUGCCACGGCAUGGACCAUCACUAGGUCUAUCAAUGAAUAAAGGUGCCGGAGUGUUCAAGGAUGCUUUAUAUAUAUUGUUCAAUAAGUAAGGCAGCGUCAAUCUGCUAUGUUUAAGUUACUAAGUAUGAUGCCGCCUUCGUUCAGUAACUGUAAGGUUGCAGCAUCAGUUGUAAUAAUGGGAGAAAACAGUGAGCAUUCAGAUCGAACUAGCUCGGUUCUUGAGAAAGGGUCAGUGUGAUGAA